AGUAUAUGCAAAUAUGGAGGAUUAUUACGAAUACAAACAUGAGUUUGUUUUUGAAGGCAUAUUUUAUAAAAUAAUUGGAAAGGAGGAAAUUUACACAUUAUUGGCUGGCAGCUUGGACUUCUUCAGUCCUAUCUGAAUCUGAAACAAAACUAUGGCCACAUCGAGAUGGCUGGUUUAGCAGCAGAAGUCACCACAGAGGGUCAUGUGUGGACUAAUGAUGCAACAAAAGUGAAAUUUAUUUGGGAUUAAAAGUUAACAGACCGUUGUGCAAC
rnacentral:lncRNA from 1 species